UACCAGCACCCCGAGUGGUCGGGACGAUUAUUGGGCCUAAAGCAUCCGUAGCCGGUUCUACAAGUCUUCCGUUAAAUCCAUCUGCUUAACAGAUGGGCUGCGGAGGAUACUAUAGAGCUAGGAGGCGGGAGAGGCAAGCGGUACUUAGUGGGUAGGGGUAAAAUCCGUUGAUCCACUGAAGACCACCAGUGGCGAAGGCGGCUUGCCAGAACGCGCUCGACGGUGAGGGAUGAAAGCUGGGGGAGCAAACCGGAUUAGAUACCCGCGUAGUCC
rnacentral:rRNA from 1 species